CAUAUGUUAAAGGAAAAAUAACAACUAACGGUCCACAUUUGUUAGAUCACAAUGUCCAUUGAUGUACUACUGCCUACUUUGCCUAGCUCACCUUAACGUGUAAAUCCACAGGGUAGAUUUCUUUCUAGAUGUGGAACCAGAAACGAGCUCUUAGUUGUCCUUUGUCUUUUAUUUACUUGGUCCCAUGUGCUGAGAAUCUUAAGAUACAACAAGAACCAGCUACGUGUGAGUAGCUCACAGGCUUUGGGAAUCAUUGAUCCCAAACCAGGUUUUUUUGUUUUGUUUUGUUUUGUUUUGUUUACUCUCAUUUUUCUGCCUCCUCCCCUUGACCAAGAAUGGACAGUUGAAGGAGAUAUAACCCGGUGGCUUAUGUUAAGAAAUUAUCCUUUUCCCUUUCCUUUUGUUUGUUUAUGGGGUUGAGGGGAGAAUGGCAAAUUUGUAUGAUUUUUCACUAAAAUCUCUAUGUGCCAGGUUCUAUUGACUUUGUAUGCAUGAGCGUUUCUGACACAAGCACAGUAUAUGUCUGUAUAUAUGCACAAAGAAUGCACACGACCUAGGGCCUGGACAGCAGAGGGCUAACAUCUUACUAUCAGCUGCCCCUACAAGAGCACUUCAGACAACCAAGCCUCUGCCUAUUUAUUAAAACCCUCCUGGGCAGAUUUCCCAGCCUCCCUUGGCAGGCAGCACUUUCUAAAGCUGAAUAGGCCCCCAUCAUCAACAAAUUCUCUUUCUUAUUUUGAAAUAAAUACCCACAGGCUCCUUUGAUUUAUUAUGUUCUUUCCCUACAUUAGGAGCUGGUGAGAUGAGCUAGUCUAACCCUGUUUGUGUUUAACAGACAAGCAAACAGUCAUAUCCACAAACAGAGUGUUGAAAGAUCUCGCACUCAGCCUUCUCCGUUCUAAUUAGAACAAUCACCAUUCUCUAGCUGACUCAGAGUUUUAAACUUGCCCACAUUUUAUUAACAAGGCCUUUGAUAUAAUCCAGGCAAAUUCUCUGCCUCCCUAUGGGUUGUGAAGCUACGAACAACACCCAAUGAUUGAAAAUGCAUCCAGCCUUCCGUUCCCUUGUUUUAGAGGAUUUGUGCCCCAACAUAUGUCUAAAUUUCUCAUACAAACUUUACACUACACCUGUUUACUGUUGCUUGCUUGUAGCCAGGUUUGGAUAACUUUGGAAUCCUGGGGUUUGGCUGUGGCCCUACUACGGUUUAGUUGUAUAAUUUCUACAGUGUCUGUAAUGACCCAAGUGGGUGGCUGGAACAUAAAAGUUACUAAUUUGAUUUUUUAAACUUUUAAAAAAUAUUCCUGACCUGUGUAGAUACCAUCCAAAAGAAACUGUUAACACUGUCUAUCCAUGUGAUUCUGUCUUCUACUAAUCUUCCAGUAGUUCUUUUGUUUACUGUGCUAAAAGAAUGUCCAAAGACAACUUUUAAUUUUCAGCAUUCCUCAUACAUCCAAGUGGUAACUGAAAAGAUGAUUUAUCACUAGUGUGUGCCAAGAACUCCUAUUUUUUUGUUGUGUGUGUGUCUGUGUGUGUGUGUGUUUGCAUGCAUGUGCACACACCUGUGCACAUGUGUCAUUGUUUGAAUGUGUGUAUGGUUAACAAAAGUAAUAAAGGCAAUCAAACAAUGUCUUUAUAGAAGAAAAAUCUAAUGACCAGUUUUUUCUUUCUGAAAACUUUCAUUGGGGCACAUUUAUUAUUUAAGAAUCUUCUCCUUGAUUUAUUGGUGCCCAUUAGUAUAUGAUUGUCUUUCUGAAUUUUUUAUAAUUCCUGAUUACACAGGUGGGUAAUAGGAUAAGGCAAUAUUUUCUUGUCCUGAUACUUCAAGUAAAGUUUAAAAUUCUAUUUAAGUGAAAAAGAAAGUUUCCUUGAGGUGCUGAGUGACCAGGAAAAUUAUCCUUUGUGAAAGUGUUCUUUUGCGUAUUAAUAGUUUAGCAGAUAGUUGAUAGAUAGCUUUGUGUGUAAAUCCUAUUAAUGCAUCUUUCUCCUCUCAAUGGUUCUUGAUGGUACAUCAAAAUUACUAUCAUACUUAUUACGGAAGAUAUUGUGAAGCAUCAUGGAUCUUAAUGGGUCAAGAAGAAGCUGGAUGUGAAUUGUUGGCCAGCUGAUCAUUGACUGAAUCACUUAAAGGGCUGCUAGAGAAGAUGAGAUUCGAAUAAAUUGGCCAAAAUCCCCAGGUUUUAAAAUUUUAACCCUAAUCCUAAUGGCAUCGAGACACUCAAGAAGUGGUCUGCCAUUGACCCACAGCUUCUACUAGAGUCUUCAAAUAGGAAAUCAGUGCUGCUCCCAAAAGAAUUGUAGCAUUCAUUGUCCUGCAGGCUUUGUUGUUAUGCCUUUUUCUUUUCCUUCACAGGUACUCUUUGUACCCGUGAUGAGCAAGCUUAGCACUAGAAAUCUGUUGAAGAAACAACAUUAUCACUUUCAUUUUGGCUACUUGUAAAGUGGCAUCUGCCCCAUGGUAAAAAGUUUAAACAGAAAGAGAAAAGACAUGGUAUUCAUUGAUGGGAGUAUUGGCAUGUUCAGGAAUACAGCCUGGGUCAGUAGAAGGCUUUGAGAAGGCACCAGGGAUAUUAAGGGUCAGGUCCCUUUUGGAGUAGAGUCAUCCAGCGUGCUCCCUGUAGUCAUCACCACACUGGAAAUGAUCUUUGGCUAAGUGAGCCAUGGAAACAAAACACUCUGCUAUCCCUGGCUUCAGAGCCUUAACCUCAGCUAUGGGCAGCACAGUAUUACAUCAAGUUCAGUUCUUAUUGUGGGUUUUGACAGGGGCUGUACAUUGUUGAUAUCAAGAAAUGAAUAGUGCUAGGUAGUACUAUUCUAUCCAGUACUAUGUUAUCUAUGCUAAAAGGAAAAUAAAACUGUUAAAAAGAAGUAUCCUACUGAAACCCGACACAUUAAAGAGCCUUAGUUUGGGCUGCCUUCUGAGAAUCCUGUAAGGUUAAAUCCACAGAAGCUAGGGUGGUCACUCCUUAAAUGGAUAUGAAUCUCCUGAAGUCAGAGGAACAUUCCUAACAUGGACAUAUUUAUAAAGUCCUCCAACCCACUAUUGAGUUGUAUUAUAUGGCAAACAGCAGUGGGAAGAGGAAAAUAAUACUUAUUUCAUUUACACAAUUAUUCUCUUCCACUGCUCAGAAAGAAACAAGGCACUGAUGGAUAGUAGUGAGGGAUACAGUGAGAUGGCUUCCAAAGUGUGCUGUCCUAUCAGUCUUCCAGGGAGAUGCAUGAGUGAUGAGUUUUUAAAAUGGAGGAAGAGUGGAAUGACACACAUGGUUCCAUAGUGGAAUGUUUAUUUCAGCUAACUCAUGGUAGAGAAACACUUGAUUAACAGAGGGCCCACGUGGAGCCACCCAUGUAUUCAUUGGUCUUGUCUGAUUCAGAAGCAUCAUUUUCCACACAUGGCAGAUGCCUGCCCAUUCUUCAUUCUCUUAGCCUUCCCUGAAUAUGCUUCUGGGUUACGUUUCUUUCCGUAGACUUUCCAUGGCUCUGAGUGUGCUUUUUACAUUGCUGAGAAGAACAUGUUCCAAGGGAUGUGGGGGAGAAAUGGGGGUAGACUGCUAGAGCAGUUUUAAAAAUUACUCUACUACAGUUCCUACAAUGGAAUACAAAAUUUGAUUCUCAUAACAUUACUUUGCUAUCACUUCAAUCUCCCCAUUUGUUGUCUAGAGUAGACUAACCCAGAAAAGACAGGUUUUUGGCAUUCUCAACCACUGGAUACAUUGUCCUGAAUUUUGAGUAAUGUUGGUCUUAUGUUUGAUCUUUGCUAGAAUUAAUAAGACAUUUUCUGUGAACUUAUAGGAUAAAUUCUUUGUGAGCUCUACUUGGCAUAAUAAUUUUCUAAGGAAAAAUGACAGGAAUUAUUUUCCUCCUGAUGACUUUUUGGCAGAUAAAUGUUUUUGCCAAUUUGCAUGCAGAGUUAUAGCUCCUAGUAUGGGCCAUUUCUCUCUUUAAUGUCUUGGUAUUGUUAGCAUCUUAUAAUCUUGAUGGCCCACUGUUCCAAUUUAUUUAUUUAUUUUAUCUUAUAGUCUC
rnacentral:lncRNA from 1 species